rnacentral:rRNA from 1 species
CCUACGGGAGGCAGCAGUGGGGAAUCUUGCGCAAUGGGCGAAAGCCUGACGCAGCAACGCCGCGUGCGGGAAGAAGGCUUUCGGGCUGUAAACCGCUUUCAGCAGGAACGAAAAUGACGGUACCUGCAGAAGAAGGAGCGGCCAACUAUGUGCCAGCAGCCGCGGUGAUACAUAGGCUUCAAGCGUUGUCCGGAUUUAUUGGGCGUAAAGAGUUCGUAGGCGGUCGAGUAAGUCGGGUGUGAAAAUUCUGGGCUCAACCCAGAGACGCCACCCGGUACUGCUUGACUUGAGUUCGAUAGGGGAGUGGGGAAUUCCUAGUGUAGCGGUGAAAUGCGCAGAUAUUAGGAGGAACACCGGUGGCGAAGGCGCCACUCUGGAUCGAUACUGACGCUGAGGAACGAAAGCAUGGGUAGCAAACAGGAUUAGAUACCCUGGUAGUCCAUGCCGUAAACGGUAGGCACUAGGUGUGGGAUUCUAUUAACGAAUUCCGCGCCGUCGCUAACGCAUUAAGUGCCCCGCCUGGGGAGUACGGUCGCAAGACUAAAACUCAAAGGAAUUGACGG